UACAGAGGUCUCAAGCGUUGUUCGGAUCAUUGGGCGUAAAGGGUGCGUAGGCGGCGCGGUAAGUCGGGGUGUGAAAUCUCGGAGCUUAACUCCGAAACUGCAUUCGAUACUGCCGUGCUUGAGGACUGGAGAGGAGACUGGAAUUUACGGUGUAGCGGUGAAAUGCGUAGAUAUCGUAAGGAAGACCAGUGGCGGAAGGCGGGUCUCUGGACAGUUCCUGGACGCUGAGGCACGGAAGGUCAGGGGAGCAAACGGG
rnacentral:rRNA from 1 species